CCCCGCUCGACAAGGAAUGGGACCCUCACUGUUGUCCGGAACUGGGCAAUGGAAGGUGACGAGAACUCCAAAGGUUGGGCUGAAGGUGGGAAGUUUUGAGAUGCCCCCACCCUGCCCCUACAGCUGAGACACAAGAAGAAACUGAGGCAGACAGCAGCUAAGUAACUUGAUCAAGGCCACAGCAGGAAGACUUAAUUAAAAUCAGCCACCACAGCAGCAGCUCCUUCUGCCCGCGGGUCCUCUCCCCAUGCUUUAAUAAACCACCAUUUUGCACCAAAGACAUCUCAAGAAUUCUCCCUUGGUCAUCGGCUCCGGACUCCACCCCACUGAACUUCGCCUAUAUCCCAGAACCCCAUCAUAUGGCACCCAAACAUGGGGCUUUGAGUCUUACAUCUGGACUCAGCUUCCAUGGAAAAUUGGACACCACUGGAAACAUUGGUUAUUUUACCAAGGCUUUGACUGGAAUGUCAUAUUUGAGAGAGACAUGCAUAGACUCAGAUGACCCAGCAGCUUUAAGGAACUGAGGUUGACUUUAUGAAACCUGGAGCCAUAAAACCCCUUGGAACUGUUGGCCUGAUACCUUGCUUAGAGUUCCCAGCAGCCUCACCAGUGUCAAGACUUCUUCACCGCCAUAACUUCCAGCUAACAGAUGAUCCUUUCCACUCAAGGAGGUUCAUCGAUGUUGACCGCGUUGGAUUCAGCUGCCUCCCCCUUUUGUAACUCCCUUAUACAUUCCCCAGCUGACCAAUAUUGACCCAUAGGUAGGGACAUCUCUACGCCCCUGUUCAGCAGGAAGACAUUACAGAGGAUGAGACCUUCCACCUUCAACAACCUUAAAGAUUUAAGAGUCAAAUUGUUCAGGGGGGAAUGAUAAGGGAACAGAAGGCAAGCUGAGGACAAAGCAGAAGCUGACACCCCACAACCCACCCCCCUAUGGGAUAUAUAUAUGACAUUCCUCAGGCACUUCUGGCUGCCCUAAAGGAAAAACUAACUUAGAGAGUUUCCCUCAUUAACAAAUGUCUUAGCAAUCUACAAGAACAAAGCAUUUGAUACUAUCAUCAAUAACCUAGCUUCCAGAAGGAAAUGUAGAUACAGUUAAAGACUUUAUAACUUGCAGCCCAUCAACAGAUACUUGAAGUGGGCAGAGUGUAAUGUUCCUGCAGGAAGUUCCCAACUAUCUUCAUGUGUAAUGCCUGACUAGAGGGGUAAACAACCUUAACAAUGGCAAGGCCUCCGGUAUCCUGUGAG